rnacentral:tRNA from 1 species
UGACCGGUGGUGCAUUGGUUAGCACAUCUCCGUAACUAGGGGACGGUUGCGGGUUCUAUUCCCGCCUGGCUGG